CAACGGGAAGACUGACAGCUUUCGCGGAAGCGGCUUUCGAACCAGCCACGCAUAUUACCUCUGAGGCUUCUCGCGAUGGAAGCGACUGGGCGUUCUUGAGUAAUUGCUUCUUCUUCGUGGUUCGGUUUUCCUGAACUUGGAAAUGCAGGAUCGACUGGUUACUUUUUGGCUUUCUUGAGGAUUGCUAUAGACUUGUGGGCUGUUGUUUAUCUGCAGAAAGAGAAGUAAUACGAAAGACUUAGGUACGUGAUCGAAUUUGAAGCAAAUAAUAUAGCAACUAUUUCAUGAAUGCUGGCAACGAAACUAGCGAAACACCUUGUACACGCUGUGCAACAGGGUGACCUCUGUUCGAUCGACUGUCACAGGCCUAAUUGCAAUAUCAUCGGGGGUUGGUAUUCGACG